rnacentral:rRNA from 1 species
GAUGAACGCUGGCGGCGUGCUUAACACAUGCAAGUCGAACGAAGCUGCCUGGAGGAAGUUUUCGGAUGGAAUUUAGGUAGACUUAGUGGCGGACGGGUGAGUAACGCGUGGAUAACCUGCCUUAUACAGGGGGAUAACGGAGAGAAAUUUCCGCUAACACCGCAUAAGACCACAGCACUGCAUGGUGCAGGGGUAAAAUAUUUAUAGGUAUAAGAUGGAUCCGCGUCCGAUUAGCUAGUUGGUGAGGUAAAGGCCCACCAAGGCGACGAUCGGUAGCCGGCCUGAGAGGGUGAACGGCCACAUUGGGACUGAGGCACGGCCCAAACUCCUACGGGAGGCAGCAGUGGGGAAUAUUGGACAAUGGGGGAAACCCUGAUCCAGCGACGCCGCGUGAGUGAAGAAGUAUUUCGGUAUGUAAAGCUCUAUCAGCAGGGAAGAAAAUGACGGUACCUGACUAAGAAGCCCCGGCUAACUACGUGCCAGCAGCCGCGGUAAUACGUAGGGGGCAAGCGUUAUCCGGAUUUACUGGGUGUAAAGGGAGCGCAGACGGCAAUGCAAGUCUGAAGUGAAAGGCGUGGGCUCAACCCAUGAACUGCUUUGGAAACUGUAUAGCUUGAGUGUCGGAGGGGUAAGCGGAAUUCCUAGUGUAGCGGUGAAAUGCGUAGAUAUUAGGAGGAACACCGGAGGCGAAGGCGGCUUACUGGACGACAACUGACGUUGAGGCUCGAAGGCGUGAGGAGCAAACAGG